rnacentral:rRNA from 1 species
UAGGGAAUCUUCCGCAAUGGACGCAAGUCUGACGGAGCAACGCCGCGUGAGUGAAGAAGGAUUUCGGAUCGUAAAGCUCUGUUGUUAAGGAAGAACGAGUGUGAGAAUGGAAAGUUCAUACUGUGACGGUACUUAACCAGAAAGGGACGGCUAACUACGUGCCAGCAGCCGCGGUAAUACGUAGGUCCCGAGCGUUGUCCGGAUUUAUUGGGCGUAAAGCGAGCGCAGGCGGUUAGAAAAGUCUGAAGUGAAAGGCAGUGGCUCAACCAUUGUAGGCUUUGGAAACUGUUUAACUUGUGUGCAGAAGGGGGGAGGGGAAUUCCAUGUGUAGCGGUGAAAUGCGUAGAUAUAUGGAGGAACACCGGUGGCGAAAGCGGCUAUCUGGUCAGUAACUGACACUGAGGCUAGAAAGCGUGGGGAGCGAACAGG